AUGCUCACUUCAGCAGCACAUAUACUAAAUUUGGAAUGAUUCAGAGAAAAUAAACAUGGCCCCUACAUAAGGAUGACACACAAAUUUGUGAAGGAUUCCAUAUAUUU